AAUCCCAAGCAGGCUCUAUGCUCAGCAUGAGCCCAACACAGGGGCUCGAUCCCAUGACAUUGGGAUCAUGACCUGAGGUGAAAUCAAGAGUUGGAUGCUCAACCAACUGAGCCACCUCCAGUGCUCUUACCCACACUGCUUUUUAAACUACCCCCAUUACUGGGAUGCCUGGCUGGCUCCAUCAGUAGAGCAUGCAACUCUUGAUCUCCAGGUUGUAAGUUCGAGCCUCACUUUGGGUGGAGAGAUUACUUUAAAAAAUAAACUACCCUUACUACUUACUGAACUUGUAUGCUGGACAUAACACCAGAGAAUCCUAAAACUAGAGGGUCUUUGGAGAGUAUUGAGCCUGACCUAAUUUACAGAUAGGGAAAUCAAGGCACAGAACAACAGAAAGAUUUGCCCAGGGUACAUAGCUAAUUAAAUGAAUGAGAAUUAGAACUCAGUUCUCCUGACUUUUAGUCAGGUGUUCUUAAUAAUCCACAUUAUAGCACUUCGUCUGAAAGAGAGUCAUGGGCCAAGGUGACACUAAUGAAUUUAUACUGAGUUUACCUUGGCACCAAUGAAACCAGACAACCAACCAGUGAGAGCCCAGAAUAAUUCCUGGGCAUUUUUCAUCUUGAUGUCUCAUAAUAGUGGACUGUAAACUCUCCCACGAUUGGGACCACAUCUUGGCUAUCCUUGUGUCUACCACAGUGCUGAGAGCUUAGUGUUAGUUAAGGUCAAUGAAAUCACAAAAGGCAAUACCACAAAGGGGUGACCUGUGAAGACAUCUCCUGUUCUGUGUACAGACCGCUUGGGAUGGUGACAUCAGACAUGUAAGAAAAAAAAGGUAAAGGCUUGCUACUCAAAGUAUGGGCCACACACCAGCAGCACUGGCAUCGCCUGGGACCCGGUUAGAAAUGGAGAAGCUCAAGCCCCACCCCAGACCUGCUGCAUCAGAACCUACAUUUCAGAGUCUCCACAGAAUCCAGGUGGUGCUGGGCAGUUUUACAUCCAGAGUUCUCCACAAUUCAGCCAGAUGCCUGGAAAUCCCAAAGAACAAGAGGGUUCAGGAGAAUGGCUUAUCCUAGGCCCACCAUGACCAUGACCUUCCUAAAAUCUGGAAUCCAAUCUCUGCCUCGAGUGGAUGUCUCUUACCUGCCACCAAAAAGCCUCACCGGGAACUUAGAAUAGUGUCCAGGAGGCAGUGCUCAAUAAAUAUUACUGUGUUC